CCAGGUACUAUUUUCAUUUUCCUUGACUCUUUCCAACAAAAGGCUCAAUUUCCUUGUGUACUAUAUUUCAUGGGCAGCAAAGACCACAUGCUGUUUUUACAACUGAUGCCAGCUCUCUCCCACGUCAGUUUCUCCUGUAAACAGCCUGGAGGCCUCCCUUUCUCAAUCUGGGUCUUUGUCUUUUGCCCCUCAUGGUCGUAAAGAGGUGGAAGACCAGUAGCGAAAGGCGCUGGCUUUGAAGACAAAGGAUCUGGUGUCACUGUGCGCCAUCAUUUCUUUUGUCAGAGACUUGAUUGUUUUGUUUGUUUAUAAUACACGAUAAUAAUAACCACCUCCCAGGGCCAUUACUGCAGUGAAGCAGGUGUCCACCAUUGUCCACUGUCCCUCUCUGGGGUCUCCUCUGGGAUAUGGUGAGGAAAGGAACUUUCUCUCAAGUCCCUCUAGAGCAGCGCAUUUGGAGGCUGCUUCUCAGGCAGGGGUCUCCUUCACCGGCUCUCCAGCCAGCUGGGCCCCACUCGCUUCGCCGCUGGUUCUGGGCUGGGAACCCUGGACCUCUGUCAGGCUGUGGUGCUCUCUCCUCAGGCACCACAACACAGUUUACGUAAGUGGUUCUCAAAGACUGGAUUCCACACCAGCAGGGUCAGUGUCACCUGGGAACUUGUUGAAAACACAAACUUAAGCCCCACCCCACAUCUACUGUAUCAGAGUCUGUGAGGUGGGGCCCAGGAGUCUACGUCUCAACAAGCCCACCGGGUGAUUCUGACGCUCACUCAAGUUUGAGAACCACCACCUUCAGCACUGACUGGAGAGUACAGGUUCUACAGCCAAACUACCUGGGUCCAAGUCCUGGCUCUGCCACUGUGUGAUCUUGGCAAGGUGUAGAACUUCUCUGUGCCUCAACUUUCUCAUCUACAAAAUGGGAUAAUAAUAAUAUCCUUAUGCCAGUACCACACUGUUUUGACUACGGUAGCUUUGUAGAAAGUUUUGAAAUCAGAAAGUGUGAGUCCUCCAACUGUGUUCUUUUUCAAGACUGUUUUGGCUAUUCAAGGUCCCUUGCAAUGCCGUUGGAACUUUGUUAGGGACUGCAUUUGAAUUUGUAGGUAGCUUUGUCAUCUUAACAAUAUUAAGCCUUUCAGUCCGUGGAUGCACAACAUCUUUCCAUUUACUUAGGUCUUCCUAAAUUUCUUUCAGCAAUGUUUUGUAGUUUUCAGUGUACAAAUCUGUCACCUCUUUGGUUAAAUUUAUUCCUAAGUAUUGUAUUCUUUUUGAUGCUAUUAUAAGUGCAAUUGUUUUCUUAAUUUCUUUUUCGAAUUGUUCAUUGGUGGUGUAUGGAAUUAUAACUGGUUUUUGCGUGUGAUCUUGUACCUUGCAACUUUCCUGAAUUUGUUUCUCACCUCUGGUAGGGUUUUGUUUGGGGUUCUUUAGGAUUUUCUAUAUAGGAUCGUGUAAUCUGCAGUAAAGACAGCUUUACUUUUUCUUUUCCAAUCGGGAUGUCUUUUGUUUCUGUUUUCUUGCCUACCUGCUCUGGCUGAAACUUCCAACAUAAUGCUGAAUAGCAGAGGUCAAAGCAGGCAUCUUUGUCUUGUUCCUUCCCUAGGGGUAAAGAUUUCAGUCUAUUUAGCUAUUUUUAAAAAAACCUUAUUCUCCCUUUUCCUAGUUAUGUACAACCUUCACGAGGUCUAUCUCAUGAAACCAGUUCCACACAGCUUUAAUCAUCUUUGUGACAGCUUUUUUGCUUAGCAACGUCACAGGUUUUGAUGUAAAAAUACCAUUGUCUUCCUCUUAUUCUAGUUUAUAAAUAGCUAUGAGCCAUGUUCGUUGUUGUCCACUCUCUACUUCCUGAGCCCGCACUGUUUGAGGUACCCUGCCUCACACAGUUCCUGCUCAUUAGAUAUUAUGAACUUCCACUGGCAGUGACAUAAGCAGCCACCUGGCCCAGUUCAUAUUCUAAAUAACGAAGUACUCAUCAGGGUCAUAGUUAAGAGUUCCACCCAUCUGAAUAUUGCCUUAUUUUUUUCCAUCCAAAUUCUCAUUUCUCUGAUCAGUGACAUCUUCCAAACACAGAUAUUUUAGUGAAAGCUUGAGCCAUAAAUAUAGUCAGUCCUGUUUCAGUUAUCCAUGCCUUCCAAAUUUUCUUUGACACAAAUUGCCAAAAUUGCAGUGUUUAGAACACGCUGGGAUCUUUUAUUGCCUGGCUCUUAUCACUAAUGUCUGCCCAAAAACAUGCUUAUGAAGGGCAUUCCCAAGGAACAAAUUAAUGUUGCUCUAGCCCUCCCUAGAUUUAGUACAUCUGUUCUGCACUCCAUUAUAAUUUUAAAAUUUCAGGGUAGGCAAUGUUCUGGUGCGACAAAAUUGCCAGGGGACUCCACACAGCCCUGAAUGCUGCCAGACAGUUUGAAAUAACACAUCAGUGAGUUUAGAAAGACCCAUUUUUAGAAUACAAAUGGAGCAAAAAACACUUCAUUCACUUUGAGUCAGGUCCAACACAUGAGGCAAAAGAUGACCAUCAAAGACUAUGAGGACAAGAGAGCAUUAGGACGCCUACAGCCCAUCUACUCCAAGAACUGUGGGUAUUUCGAUAGAAAGCCCUAUAUUUCUUGCACAUCCACUGUGUGCCAAGAGCUGUGUUAGGAGCUCUGCAUAUAUUAUCACAACUCUAAGAGGAAGAGUAGAAAGAGUAACCUCUUUUUACUAAUGAGAAAAUAGGCUCAAAGAUAAAUAAUUUGCCUAAAGUCACAGAUCUAGUGCAUGGCAGGACAGAGAUUAGGUUUGGGGUCUUAUAACAACAUCUCUCCUCCUUCCCCCAUUCCAGGGGUCAGCAAGCUAGGCCUGAAGGCCUAAUCCCACCAACCACCUCUUUUUGUAAGCAAAGUCUUACUGGAACACAGCCAGGCCCACUCAUUCAGGCAUGGUGUGUAAUGACUUCUGUGCAAUGGGAGAGGUGAGUGGUUGAAACAGGCUGUGUAGUCCACCACGCCUAAAAUAUUUACUAUCUGGCCCUCUUCAGAAAAAAAUUUUUUUCAGGCCCCUGCCCUAUGUAGGAGGACCUUCUCUUACUUCUAGGUUGUCCUGCCUUUACCUCGUUUUCAUCCAGUAGGAAUUCUAGAAAAGUCUGCGAUAUGCCCUAAGAUAGUGGCUCUGGCACACUCUGAGAGCUGACAGAGACAGACUCGGGAGGGCUGUUGCCCCAUGUAGUUUAAUCGCCAUCACCACUGAGCAGCUGGCCCAGCACAGAGCCAAUCUUCAACAUCAUGGCAGUCAUCCCCAGAUGAUCUGUCGUCAGGGCCACCUGCAACAUGGAAGCACCUAGACCAAGGGCACGCCUGCAGCACCAGGUGGUGCUACCCCAUCAGGCGUCCUUUCUGCCUAGGUCUCUGUGACCACAAAGUGUGGCCAUAAGCCUCAAACAGCCAGGACUGUUCCUGUGUCUGGAUGGACAGUGGACUUGAACAGCGAGGCCUAAACAUGUGCCUUAUUUAUGGGUCACUCCCUCCCCAGCUUUGUUUUGGUGGUGACUCGCUGCUGGUGUGCAAGACCAUUUACUUGUGAGUUUGGAGACUACCAGUCUAGAGAUUUAUGGCACUUAGUAGCCAGAAGAGGAAGCUGUAAAGUGCCUGACAGAGCAGCUCUAAAAAUUAAGGCUUCUGUUUCCUGAAUCCACAGGCUGAAAAUCCUUAAACCCUGCCGCCGGCUUAGCUUUCCUCCUUCUGCACCAAGCUUAUUCAUGCAUAAUAUGGGAAAGAAAGGACAGGAUGAAUUUAACGCAAUCUUGUCUGAGAACCCUCCUCACUCUUAGUUCCUGAGAUGAGGUAGAAUAUUCCAGUUUCCUGGGAAGUUCAUCACGAAGCCAUUUGAGAAGGAGCAGGUUGCAGGGAAGAAGUCAGGUGUCCUGACAGCAGCCCAGUGUUUCACCAGGCUGAGGACAGGCCCGGGAAGGGUCUGUUAUUUGCGUUUGGAGAUAUCUAGGGUCACAUUGUGCACUUGCCAUGUACUUGCUGUCUAACCUGGACCACACAUAAAUUCUCUCCCUCUUGGUUUUUCAUGUCACAGCAUUUAACGAUGGAAGUUUUGUAAAUUGUAGGGUACUGGGCCAACCCUACAACACAGUUCGUUCUUUCUUCACUUUUGCCAUUCUCCUCCUUAAACUAGCUGAGCAAAGGGUAAGGCCAAGGGUCUUGACAAAUCUGAGGUAAGAAGUUUAAACUGGGGGACUUUAGGGCUCUGAAGAGCAAAGAGACAUUUAUUUAGGGACAUCAUCAGCUAUUCAGCUUCAUUAAUCAUCUAAGCUGAUUUUCUUAAGUAUGCGUGACAUUGGCAUGGAGGACUCUUACUUUCUGGAGUAGGAAGAAGUAUUCUCUCCUUUGCUGGGUUACUUCUGCUCAGAGCUGGUUUCCUCCAGACUUGUCCAGAGCAAGGGCCAGAGUUCAAGGGUGAACGUGUGGCAUUAGGUCAGUGUCGUCUGCAUUUCAUUUUAAACGUAAUAAACGGGCUCACUGAAAGUAACUUGACAUCCACAUGGAGAAAAAGAGUAAAACUAAUGAUAGAUAACACCAAUAGUUGACAUCUCGUCUUUGGUAUACGAUGUGGUCCUUUUAUUUUGGGGGCCUCUGAUACCUUGGGAAUUCAAACAUUUCAAAGAGGUGACUGCAGUCCUAGGAAGCCCAAAAUCAGAAAGCCGUGGAAACUGUCCAACUUCCCCGUCCUGACCUGACCCUCACUGCUUCCCUUCUCCUGCCGUGUGUUUCCACGCUUCAUAACUGAGGGUUCACAUCUUCAACGUUUACAGGAGACUUGCUUCUCUUUCAAAAAACAGAACCAUAAAAAUAAACGCUGGAGUUAAAUCCAGGCGUGCGGCCACCAGGUGGCAGCGGAGCCUAAAUGACAGGCUCCCGGCUCCUUCGCUAAACCCAACUGUGGGUGGGGCCCCGGCAGGAGUUUACACAUACACAUACAACACAUUUACCAGGAAGCUGGGACUCCGGGGUGCAAGCCGCGCACUCACAGGCACGCGGCUCAGCAGCGGCAACUCAGGUGGCAGACGUGGCCGAGGGCACGGAGGCUGCGCCAAGACAGCGAGUUCUCAGCCGGACGGUUACCGUGCGGUAAACGUGGGGACCCGCCGCCCUCUGCUCCUGACCUGGCCUGCUCAGAGGCAGAGGCCGGGAAGGCGUCCCCGCUCCCCGCCGGCCCCACAGCGCCAUGUGGCCGCCCCGCGUCGCAGGGUCUCGGGACUAACACACGCCGUCUCCCUCCGCAGAGCCACGUGUCCGAUUAAACCAAGGCGAAGUUUCCCGCUAUCUGAGCGAAUUCUGGACACAUCUUCACUUCUGGAGCUCAUUUUGGACACGAAUUCGAUAAAGUUCCCUCGACGCUCCCGCUUUCCAGCAGGUCUGUCCGCACCGCGGGCUUCCUCUCACCAAUAACCCGCUUCUUCAUUUCCCCGGGGCCGGCUCCCAGCGCCCCAAGCGGCUCAGACCUGCCCCGGAAGAAGACGCCGGCCGGCCGCCCAGGAAGGGCCAAGAGGAGGGCACGGGCUGUGGGGUUCCCCACCCCAGGGAGCCGGGACUGGUGCUGGACCUCCUCCUGCCCUCACGGCGGCUCCAACCAGCAGCCACUCGGCCCCACGCACGUCUGCGCCUUCUCGCCUCCGCCACCGUCCUCCCCUCGCAGCGUCCAACUGAAGGACGUAACCAGUCACGUGAAGCAAUUCAGCCAAUCACAGGGCAGAACGUCAGCCAAUCACGUGGCCCCUGUCAACCAGUAACCUGGCCGUACGUGAACUUGUCACGUGGCCUCCACCAGUCACGUGGCUGCCUGGCUUCGGGUGGGUAAACACGGCGCCCGCCUUACUGUGAAUCGGUUGUUUGUGUUUCAAAGAGUUUUCUUGCCCCUUUCUCCUGCGCAGUCCCCAGGGGAGUCCGGGUGGACAGGAUGCUGCUGCCCUACAGGUUCGGGUGAACGAGGAGCGCGGCGCUGCAGCGCGAUAUACCCGAGGCGUGUUAUGCAGUAUCAGGCCGGAGGGGGCCGCAGGGGCCUGGAGGCGGGCGCCCCGCCUGGCGCGCAGGUGGAGUAAGGAGCUGAGGGCAGGAAUGGAUCUGUGAUUCUUUAAAAAUAGACUCUCUCGGGCAUUGCCACUUGCCAGCACGUUCAGGCCCCCAGUGGAAGCUUUAUUUCCCCUGCUUCAAUUCGGCGCCCCCGGCUCUCCCCUUGAUUGCAGUGUUUUCAGGCCCUCGACGUCCUCUAUUAGCCUCGGCCUUUUCUUGGGUUUUCCUUUGCCCUCUUACAUUGAAAACAAUGCCUUAAAAGGGAGACAGCUGAGAUUUCUGCAAGACCAGUUUCAUCUCAAAUUUCUCGCCUGCAAGGAAGAGGGAGAAUGGGCCCCCCUGACCGGGCCGAAGCAGUGUGACCGUCUUUAAUAAGUCCAGACUGUUCUUUACCAAAAAUCUAUGCUUCCUUCUUCUCGAGCCGCGAGCCCUGCUACCCAAGACUCCAGCCCUCAGUUUUAGGAGGGAAGAGAAAAGACGGCCAGCGUGAAUGGCUGUGAUGUUAUCUAAACCUUUGAGCUCGCUCCUUAUCAGCUCCAGAGCUCCCAGCCCCAGUGCUGCCCGGAUUGUUUUUUGAACAGUUUAGCACAGAAGGCAGGCUUUUCUAAGAGUGAAGGCCCGGUGAAGAGGACCCAAUCCGCGAAGGAAAUUUAAAUUCCAGUCCACUAAGCAAUCUUUUGCAAAAGAGCCCUCUUUCCCAAGCUUGCUCGUUUUCAGGAGCAGCCUCCUCAAAUUGCUGAAGGCGCUUCUCCCACCUCCAUGCGGGAGAUGCGAGAUCCCCCGCAGGGUCCUCUUCCCCUCCACUUGGGACCGCUCUAGCCGUGUUCCUAGGGUCACAGAGUUUGUAGAAGUUGCAAAAUGCAGUUUCCGUAGGACACCAUUCUGGGCGAGCUGCUUGCGGGCAUGUGUGUGUGGCACCAAAUGAAGAGAGAAUUGAAGAAAAAGAAAGAAAGAGAGUAAGACCUCUAAGAGAGAAAAGUCAGCUGUGCCAGGGGUGUGUGAGCCCAGAGGCCCUCCGUGCGGUGGAGUCUCACCUCUGGCUCUUGCUCACAGAGCCCCUGCAUUCCAAAGUGUGACUGCGGAGUCCGCCCUCCAGAGCAGAGUCAGCUUCUGUUGUGAUCGACCCAGACAGCUUUAAAAUAUGGCCCAAGUCCUGGUUUGUUGUUGCAACAGUAUCAUAUUUAUUUAGUUUGGCUACUGACAGACGAGUGGAGUACUCCGCCACUGGGAACUGAACCCAGGCCACUGAGGGGCGUUCUGUGAAGGAUACAAUCUUGUCUCUUGUACUGUUGCACUUGCUGCGCCCAGUGUGAGCACACAGCACAUAGCAGGUGCUCAGCGAACAUUUGCAAUGAACAGGGUGACGUUGGAACCGCCUGAAUGCCGAGCAGUUGGAGCACAGGAUCAGCAAUUUGAGAAAACAGAUGAACUGCACUGGCUUACGAAUUUCUGACGACUUGCACUGUACCUGCUGGGCUCCUGACCGCGUGAAGGGCGAAGGCUGGCCUCACAGCGGCCGUGCCCCCGGAAGCGCAGUGCAGAGUGCCGCGCAGCGCCCUCCUGACCGCGUGAAGGGCGAAGGCUGGCCUCACAGCGGCCGUGCCCCCGGAAGCGCAGUGCAGAGUGCCGCGCAGCGCCCUCCUGACCGCGUGAAGGGCGAAGGCUGGCCUCACAGCGGCCGUGCCCCCGGAAGCGCAGUGCAGAGUGCCGCGCAGCGCCC
ensembl:lncRNA